GCCCUCUGGUAUACCAGACGGGAAAGAUCCAGAUGGGCAGUAUAGGACUGAGGGAUUGCGGGGAGCAGGCUGCACGGUAGAAAUAACAAUCCAGAAGAGGUGACCCCAGGCUGGACUCGGGAGGAAGCCUGGUGGGUGUCUGAGCCUGGACAAGCUCCUAAAAAUUGAUGUUCUUCAAGUCCGUGGAGCAGCGGUAUCUUCCAUCCAGGAACCUGGAGCACAGCAGGUUGGGUGAGCAGGGACAGGUGUGGUGCUGGCGUUUCCGGAAGAAGGGGACCUGGGGAGAGCAGAGAGGGACACCUUCACCCACAGGGGUGGCCUCCAGCCGGAGCCUCUGGGGGCCCAGCCCUGUCGAAUGCCUCACUCCACCUCCCAUACAGCCUCGCCCAGCAAUACUAGAGGUUAUAGCUGAGGAAACGAGGUACAGGGUGAUCGAGCAGCAUGCGAGGACCUCGGCUCACCUACGGAGGAGCUAGACGUGUACCCAGGCUGCCUGGUCUUCAGACGCAGCACCCACGCCCAGCUCUGUUGACUGGACACCUACUGUGUUAGGUCCCCGCUGGGAAUACGGAUCUGCACUGAAGCCCCACACACUCCAAAGCAAAGGGGGCCGCCGAGCUGCACAGCCUCCCCACCACCUCCUCAUGGUGUGGGGAAAAGGCCAAGAUUGAGAGGGACACUACUGGAGGAGUCUCACCCCCGACGGGGCACCGAAUCUUGUAAGAUGCCUGAAUCUGGAUGUCAGGCCCCACCCCGCAUAGCCCCCUAACCCCGCCCCCCAGUUUUGUCUGCACCUGUUGACCAUGCAGAAGCAAAGGCCCUGUGGGCUCCUCUACACCCUGUGGCUGGGAGCUGGCUGCCAGGGGAUGGAAGCAGAGCCCUCACUAGAUGCUUAGGGCACAAAAGAGUGACAGCCUUCUUGAAAUGUGUGUUCCAAGUACCUGCUGGCCUGGCUUCAGAACCGUUGUGUAGAGGAGCCAUCAUUUGGGGGGUCUUAUUUCAUGGUUGCUUUGUUGUUUGUUUGUUUUGUUUUGUUUUGUUGGUACCAGGGAUUUAACCCAGGGGUGCUUUACCACUGAGCCGCAUCCCCAGCCCUUUUUGUUCUUUAUUCUUGAGACAGGGUCUUACUAAAUCACUUGGGGCUUCACUAAGUUGCCUUGAGCUUGUGAUCAAGGUGGAGGCACCACCACCCCCAGCUGAUUUCACGUUCUUGAAGGCAGGUCUCUGAGGGAGGUUUCCAAGGGAGCAAAGGGCAUUUGAGACCCUUUCAAAAUCCAGAUUUCUCAGAUGGAUAAGAGACUGCAGGGGGGAAUCAGUGGGCUCCCUUUAAUGUAUACAUGAGGCAAAAAGCAGUCAUGCUAGUUACCCAAGAUCACACAGCAAGUAAAGAACUGGAAAUGGCCAUAACCCCCUCUCCAGGCCUAACAGUCUGCAUGACCAGUACGACUGAAGCCAGAUUUAAAGUUAGGUAGUCAGUGUAGUUAGGGAAAUCGGGUCUAAGAUCGAGUAAGAUCCAAAAUGGAGGCCAUGUUGAGAAUGAAGUGGGGGCGGGGGCAGAGCAGAACUCUUGGAAUGUUAAUGAAGUCCGGGAAAAACCCAAGGCCGGAGCCCAUCCCAAAGAAAUGUUAAUGAAACAGCUUCCUGCAAAAUUGAAGAUGCUGACCCAAAAGUCCUUCCUGCCCAGAUUACUUCUUUGGCCCACCUGUGCCCCACCCUUCGGGCCUUCCCACCUACAUUCCAUCACUGAAAGAUAACAGAACAGGGGACAGGAAUGGGGGGGGCAGAUGAAGACCCUAGGUAUAAAAAGGGGAGACAACCGCACUUCCACGGAUUCCAUCUCUUGGGUCCCCUUCUUCCUCCGGGAGAAGUCUUUUCUGCUGUCCUUUAAUAAAGCCUCUAUUUUCCACCCUGA